GACGAACGCUGGCGGCGUGCCUAAUACAUGCAAGUCGAACGCAGUGGGGACAGGUGAGUAACAAGUGGGUCACCUCCCAUCAGAGGGGAUAACACUUGGAAACAGGUGCUAAACCGAUACUGAUGGAUGGACCCGCGGUGCAUUAGCUAGUUGGUGAGGUAACGGCGCACCAAGGCCACGAUCCAUAGCCGACCUGAGAGAGUGAUCGGCCACACGGGGACUGAGACACGGCCCAGACUCCUACGGGAGGCAGCAGUAGGGAUUUUUCGUAAAGGGACGAAAGUCUGACCGAGCAACGCCUCGUGAGUGAAGAAGGUUUUCGGAUCGUAAAACUCUGUUGUUAGAGAAGCGGUAUCUAACCAGAAAGCCACGGCUAACUACGUGCCAGCCGCCGCGGUAAUAC
rnacentral:rRNA from 1 species